UACGUAGGGGGCUAGCGUUGUCCGGAUUUAUUGGGCGUAAAGAGCGUGUAGGCGGCCAGGUAGGUCCGGUGUGAAAACUCGAGGCUUAACCUCGAGAUGUCAUCGGAAACCAUCUGGCUAGAGUCCGGAAGAGGAGAGUGGAAUUCCUGGUGUAGCGGUGAAAUGCGCAGAUAUCAGGAAGAACACCAAUGGCGAAAGCAGCUCUCUGGGACGGUACUGACGCUGAGACGCGAAAGCGUGGGGAGCGAACGGG
rnacentral:rRNA from 1 species